UGGGGAAUAUUGCACAAUGGGCGCAAGCCUGAUGCAGCCAUGCCGCGUGUAUGAAGAAGGCCUUCGGGUUGUAAAGUACUUUCAGUCGGGAGGAAGGUGUCAAGGUUAAUAACCUUGGCAAUUGACGUUACCCGCAGAAGAAGCACCGGCUAACUCCGUGCCAGCAGCCGCGGUAAUACGGAGGGUGCAAGCGUUAAUCGGAAUUACUGGGCGUAAAGCGCACGCAGGCGGUUUGUUAAGUCAGAUGUGAAAUCCCCGGGCUCAACCUGGGAACUGCAUCUGAUACUGGCAAGCUUGAGUCUCGUAGAGGGGGGUAGAAUUCCAGGUGUAGCGGUGAAAUGCGUAGAGAUCUGGAGGAAUACCGGUGGCGAAGGCGGCCCCCUGGACAAAGACUGACGCUCAGGUGCGAAAGCGUGGGGAGCAAACAGG
rnacentral:rRNA from 1 species